UACGGAGGGUGCAAGCGUUAUCCGGAUUCACUGGGUUUAAAGGGUGCGUAGGUGGGCAGGUAAGUCAGUGGUGAAAUCUCUGGGCUUAACCCGGAAACUGCCGUUGAUACUAUCUGUCUUGAAUAUAGUGGAGGUGAGCGGAAUAUGUCAUGUAGCGGUGAAAUGCUUAGAUAUGACAUAGAACAUCGAUUGCGAAGGCAGCUCGCUACACUAUGAUUGACACUGAGGCACGAAAGCGUGGGGAGCAAACAGG
rnacentral:rRNA from 1 species